rnacentral:piRNA from 1 species
GUUUUCUCUUAACUCGCAGAACAGA